rnacentral:rRNA from 1 species
AGUGAACGCUGGCGGUGUGCCUAACACAUGCAAGUCGAACGGCAACACAGUAAAAGCUUGCUCUUACGGGGUGCGGGUGACGGACGGGUGGGGAAUACAUCGGAAUCUAUUUUUUCGCGGGGGGUAACGUAGGGAAACUUACGCUAGUACCACAUACUCCCUAAGGGGGUAUGCCGGGGAUGUUCGCCCCUUGAGCGGUUGAAUGAGCCGAGUUCGGCUUAGCUAGUUGGGGGGGUAAAGGCGGACCAAGGCGACGAUCGGUAGCUGGUCUGAGAGGAGGAUCAGCCACACUGGAACGGAGACACGGCCCAGACUCCUACGGGAGGCAGCAGUGGGGAAUAUUGGACAAAGGGCGCAAGCCUGAUCCAGCCCUACCGCGUGGUGGAAGAAGGCCUUCGGGUUGUAAAGCCCUUUUGUUGGGAAAGAAAAGCAGCAGGUUAAUACCCCGCUGUUCUGACGGUACCCAAAGAAGAAGCACCGGCUAACUUCGUG